rnacentral:rRNA from 1 species
GUGGGGAAUAUUAGUCAAUGGGGGAAACCCUGAACUAGCAACGCCGCGUGAAGGAAGAAGGUCUUCGGAUUGUAAACUUUUGUCUUCAGGGAAGAAAUAAAUGACGGUACCUGAGGAGGAAGCCACGGCUAACUACGUGCCAGCAGCCGCGGUAAUACGUAGGUGGCAAGCGUUGUCCGGAAUUACUGGGUGUAAAGGGUGCGUAGGCGGGUAUGUAAGUCAGGUGUGAAAUUCCGAGGCUCAACUUCGGAACUGCAUUUGAAACUACAUAUCUUGAGUGAAGGAGAGGUAAGUGGAAUUCCCAGUGUAGCGGUGAAAUGCGUAGAUAUUGGGAGGAACACCAGUGGCGAAGGCGACUUACUGGACUUUAACUGACGCUGAUGCACGAAAGCGUGGGUAGCAAACA